UUUUGGGGGGGGGGGGAUAUUGGCUGAAGCGGAGCAUAAAAAGCCUUGAAGUUCUCUUUUUCCCGAUUCUCUUAUGCUUGUUUGUAUUUUUUCACGAGUUCAAAUAAACUUUUUUGGUUCGUCUUUUUGGCUGACUUAAAAUGUGUUCAGUUCCCUGCUUUUCUCAUAAGAAAAUGUCCAGUCCCCAUAUUCUCUUUUGAAUCAGAAACAUGGAGUACCGUGUAACAUGGAGGGUGAAUUUAUAUUGAUCCUCUGGGUUCGGAAGGCAAUGCUGGAGAAACUGGGCAUGUGAAACUUCUGUUCUUGCUUUUCCUUUAUCUUCUCUCGUUUAUAGAAGAAUGAGACGAGGAAUGCUACUCCCUUAGAAGAAUGAAGUAUACACAUUGAGAUUGGAAGGACUUGGGAUUAGUUCCCAACUCUUCUUCCUUUUAUUUGAUCACUACAGUCCUAUCUCUACUGUGUCAUAUUUCAACUCUUGGGGAUAGAGUAGUUUUCUUUGUUGGAGCAGUUAGUACCUAGGGGGGGGGGGGGGUGCAUAUUGGAUAUUUCAACUCUUGGGGAUAGAGUAGUUUUCUUUGUUGGAGCAGUUAGUACCUAGGGGGGGGGGGGGUUGCAUAUUGGCUGAAGCGGGGCAUAAAAAACCUUGAUGUUCUCUUUGAAAUGAUUGUGGACAAAUUCCUAUAAUGACUUCCGAUUUUCUGUCAACUGCAUUAUGCUGUGUCAUAUAAAAAGACUUAACAUACUUCAGUUGCGAUUCUUAAUAUACUUAUGUGAAUUAAGCUUUAAAUGUGGCAUUUCAGUUUUCAUAAUCCUGAUGAUCUCUUUUAUAUUGACAAUAUGUGGUCUUGCUACCACUGCAGAGGGGGUGGUAAUAUCUGUAUUCCAUUGUCUACAUCAAAAAGUAUCUGUAUGCCAUUGUGAUAUUUUGGGGCCGCGUGUUGUCCAAGAUCAUCUCUGCUAUAGCGGAUUCCUUGUUUGAUAAUAAUGUACAAAUUGCUGAAGUUAACUGGUCAAAUUAGCUUAUGUUUUUUGGAGCAUAGUAUCUCUCUUCAAUUGAAUCAGGUUCACGAUGCCUUUGCUGAUAUAUCUACUUUGGUGGUAUGGUUAAUCAUUAGUCGAAACCCUUUCUACCUUACUCCUUCAAGUAGCUUGUUAUGGAUGGGAUUUCACUUCAUUUUUCCCCUUGAUCAAUUAUUAUUGUGCAUUGUUGGCAGGAAAGGGAACAUGCCCUGAGAUCCUUCAAAAGUGGUAGCACGCCAAUCUUGGUUGCAACAGAU
rnacentral:lncRNA from 1 species